rnacentral:rRNA from 1 species
UACAUGGAAUGCAAACGUUGUUCGGAAUUACUGGGCGUAAAGAGCUCGUAGGCGGUUUGUCGCGUCGAAUGUGAAAACCCUGGGCUCAACCCCGGGCCUGCAUUCGAUACGGGCAGACUAGAGUUCGGUAGGGGAGUCUGGAAUUCCCGGUGUAGCGGUGAAAUGCGCAGAUAUCGGGAGGAACACCAGUAGCGAAGGCGGCUCGCUGGGCCAUUCCUGACGCUGAGACGCGAAAGCUAGGGGAGCGAACAGG